CCAAGUUUAACGUGUGUGCUCCACUCCUCCAACCUGGCCAAAGGGCAGUCAUCAUCACUGGCCACUACUGACCACAGCCUUUAGAAACUCCCCUUGAACGUGCUGGGCUGACCUUCCUCUGAUCACAGGCAAGGCAAAGGAAAAUGACAGGCCCUUGCCUUCCCGGUCCUCAAGGGUCAGCUGUAAGAUGAUGUCAUAAAGCCGGAUCAGGUCCUGGGGCCGGGGGAAGCACUUGCUGUCAUCCUCUGGCUGCUGCUGCAGCAGAGCCCUCUGCAGACCUUUGGCCAUGCUCUCAUUACGCUUGAUUGCCAUUGACAGCUUGAUGUAAGUCAGGUGAACAAAUAGAAGCUGAGGGUGAAGGACCUACAGCUGUCACCUUCAUCUCUUCUCAACACUGCCAACUGUCCCCUUGGAUUUCCCAGACAGACAACAAGGGACAUCUCUGGUUUCUCGGUGCCCCCUAGAAACCUCGGGUCAUUUCAAGGCAUUAUGCAAAUGAGAAGCUUUCCUUCUCUUCACCUCAUCUCCUGAUCUGCACAAAAGUGACUGUAGGACCCAGUGUUGUAGAUGAGCAUGAGAGUGUGGAGCAGAGUUGGCGAGUGCAAGUCGAG
rnacentral:lncRNA from 1 species